CAAGGAAUUUUCCCCAAUGGGCGCAAGCCUGAGGGAGCAACGCCGCGUGCAGGACGACGGCUUUCGGGUUGUAAACUGCUUUUGCGUGGGACGAUAACGACGGUACCACGCGAAUAAGCCCCGGCUAACUCUGUGCCAGCAGCCGCGGUAAUACGAAGGGGGCUAGCGUUGUUCGGAAUUACUGGGCGUAAAGCGCGCGUAGGCGGACUAUUAAGUCAGGGGUGAAAUCCCGGGGCUCAACCUCGGAAUUGCCUUUGAUACUGGUAGUCUAGAGUCCGUGAGAGGUGAGUGGAACUCCGAGUGUAGAGGUGAAAUUCGUAGAUAUUCGGAAGAACACCAGUGGCGAAGGCGGCUCACUGGCACGGUACUGACGCUGAGGUGCGAAAGCGUGGGGAGCAAACAGGAUUAGAUACCCCGGUAGUCC
rnacentral:rRNA from 1 species